rnacentral:tRNA from 2 species
AGGGGUAUAGCUCAGUUGGUAGAGCGGCGGUCUCCAAAACCGCAGGUCAUCGGUUCAAGCCCGGUUGCCCCUGCCA